GUGAACGCUGGCGGUAGGCCUAACCCAUGCAGGUCGCACGGCAGCACAGUAAGAGCUUGCUCUUACGGGUGGCGAGUGGCGGACGGGUGAGGAAUACAUCGGAAUCUACUUUUUCGUGGGGGAUAACGUAGGGAAACUUACGCUAAUACCGCAUACGACCUACGGGUGAAAGCAGGGGAUCUUCGGACCUUGCGCGAUUGAAUGAGCCGAUGUCGGAUUAGCUAGUUGGCGGGGUAAAGGCCCACCAAGGCGACGAUCCGUAGCUGGUCUGAGAGGAUGAUCAGCCACACUGGAACUGAGACACGGUCCAGACUCCUACGGGAGGCAGCAGUGGGGAAUAUUGGACAAUGGGCGCAAGCCUGAUCCAGCCAUACCGCGUGGGUGAAGAAGGCCUUCGGGUUGUAAAGCCCUUUUGUUGGGAAAGAAAAGCAGCAGGUUAAUACCCCGCUGUCCUGACGGUACCCAAAGAAUAAGCACCGGCUAACUUCGUG
rnacentral:rRNA from 1 species